rnacentral:lncRNA from 12 species
CCCUUCCCUGCCCGCUCCCGUCGCUCCCACCUUGCUUCUGGAGAGCGGGUUUGACGUUCCCACCCCCUCCCCAGCGACCCCCUGGAGAGGAAGGGAGCCAGGAGGGAGGAAGACUCUUCUUUCUCCCACCUGGCGGGUGCGUAGGGAGGGAUACUAAGGCAGCGGAGGGCAGGGAGGGGGGCCGAGGGAACAGGGACCCGAGGGUCUGUCUUAGGGGGAAAAAAGGAUAAACAGAAACCUCAUGGUGUGUCUUUCCAAAAGCCUCAGGACGUCAUGAGUCCUUGAGUGACCCUCCUCAGUUGCCCAGUGAGGUUGGGCACCUUGCAAGGGCGAGAGGACAGGUUUCAGAGGGAGGCAGGUGCACUUUUAGCCGCUUACCUGCCGCCUCCAUGUCCUUACCUGGAAUGCGGGGCAAAGGGCAGCCCAGGGUUAGGUAUGCUUCUGUUGUCUCUACACUUUUUGUUUUUUUAAGAUUUUAUUUAUUUAUUCAUGAGAGACAGGGAGAGAGGCAGGGGCAGAGGGCCAGAUGCCAGACUCCAUCCAAGGACCCAGGGAUCAAGACUUGGCCCUAGGGGCAGCCACUUAACCGCUUAACCGACUGAGCCAUCCAGGCGCCCUGCUGUCUCCACGCUUCCGCUGUUGAAGCAGAGGACCCUGUUUUGUGUAAGUGAAAUGUAACGGUGCGGUUCCACGAGGUGAUGGGCCAGUGGGCAAAACUUCCACAGAGUGGAGCUGAAAGUGCUAGAUGCUAGAUUUAGUUCUGAGAUCCAGCUUGAGCAGCUUGAGAUCCGUCUGCAUGGAUGCCUCUGCACGGAUGCGGAAGGCCCCGGUCUAAAGUCCACAGAUACUGCGAGAGCAAGUGCAGUCCUGGCCCCACAGACUGGCCCCAAGGCUUCCAGGGUGGCAGAACUGACAAGGAAGUUGCGCUGAGCUUCAGGAGGUCCCCUGGAAAUAUUAAGGGGUGGAGACAGAGGCAGAUCAGGAGGUAAAUUAUCAAAACUCACCACUGGUAAGGUGACCUCAGGAAGGGGGCAGGAAACAACGUGGUGCUAAGGGUAGAACGAGUUGCCCUGGUGUCAGUGAGAAGCGUGGUGGGAUGCCCUCGAGGAUGUAGGGUUAUUUCCCCUUGUGAGUUUGGUGGUGCUUGAGGGCACUGGAAGCUUACUUCCCUGGAAAGAGAGUUUCUUUCUCCGGAAAGAGAGAGUCCUGGUGAGGAGGGGACUCAGGCUUUUCCCUUCCUCUUGAGGCCUGGCACUCCCAGACCCAACACCCUUCUUUCUUACAAUUUCAGCAAGUGUCCCAAUUGGUGGAAGAUGGUGAUUUUGGAAUUUGCCAUAGAUUAAAACUUUCAGGACCUCCUAGAUCUUUUAAUCCCAAAGCCAUAAGCUUGCCUUCUGUAUUUCCAAUGGUUUUGAAAUACUAUCCUCGUAAUGCUGGGCUAUUGUCUGGCGCUUAGACAUGUCUGCGUUUUUGCCAGUUAAUAUUAUUUAAUAUUAUUUCUCUGGAAUGGGUCAUGAAGCUCUGGUCUGCAACUAUUUCUACCGCUUGUGGCCCGAGCUGAUGCUAAUAUGGAAGGUCAGCUCCAGCCCCAAGUGCUCCUUCCUGCUGUCUCUAUUUAAUGGUGAUCGUUAGGCACAUUUCAUCUUUGUUUGUAAUUUUGAAUACCUGACCAAUCCAUUUGGGCAAGAGAGACCUGAGGGAUGGCUUCUAGUCAUUUUUCUCUUACUUUCUUCAUUUUCUAAUGGGAGUUAGAGGU